rnacentral:lncRNA from 1 species
UACAGAAAUUUAACAGAAACCAGAGGCUCUCUGGCAGUAUGUUUCCUGAAGAGACCAGUUCAUGCCAAGUUUCUGUGGCAAAGAACUGAAAAGAACUGGGAGAUCAUCCAGCCCCACCCCCAUAAGGACAGAAAUGAGAUGCCACAUAAGAAGUCUGAACACUCUGAGAUAACCACGAAGAAGCCUACUUUAGUAUAAAGAAAGAAAGCCCCCCCCCACACACACACAGUGACACAGCGGUGCCACACAUGUGAACAAAGCCUUUUUUCAUUUUCUUGUCCAAGCCAGAUACCAGCGAAUGCAGCUGAGAGACUGACCCCAGACAACACUGCAUGGAGUAGAAGCACUUCUUGGCCAAGUCCUGCUCAAAAUCCUGAUCCAAAGAAUCAAAAACAAUGGUUGUGGUUUCAAACCACUAAAUUUGGGGCACAUUUGUUACUGUAUGGGUGGGCCUGCCUUAGCAUCCGUGCCACAGUCAGUCAUCAGCUAUGAGCAGCCUGCAGGAGGCACAGCCUUUGCACAAAUAUCAUGGUAGAUUCAGAGUGAAGCAGCUGUGG